CCGUUGACUUGGUGUUGUCAGCACCACACUCUCCCAAGUGAGCCACAGGCCGGCCCUUUUAACAAUUCUUAACACUGUCUUAAGAGUCCUUUGAAUGUCUGCAAUGGUAUAAAACAAUGACAACCAUAACUUUGUUCUUUCAAGAAAGAAAAGCUUUGGGGGAAUAGCUGUGUUAUUCAGAGCCAAAUCUGCUGAUUUGGGUAGCUGAUGAGUCAAGAUAAUUACCUUUGGGGUCAAGAACAGUGCGCCAUGAAGAUGCACCCAGGAGAGGCCUUCCAGCAGAGUGUGGGCAGCAGCCAUGCCCCGGGAACGAGCACUCACCCCAGUGGGCUUUUUACGUUCUUAUGACUUUUUAGUGGGAAAGUGAAACCUGCCUGUGGUUAACAAAGAAAUAGUUCAAAAGAAUCUUCAGUACAAUGAUGAAUAGAAGUGACAAGAGCAUACGUUGUUGUCCUGUUCCUGAACUUAAGGGGAAAGACUUCAUUCAGUAUUUCACUGGUAAGUAUGAUGUUAGUUGUGAGUUUUUCAUAGAUACCCUUUAUGAGGUUGAAGAAGCUCCUUUUUAUUCCUAGUUUGAGUGGUUUUUUUUGUUUGUUUGUUUGUUUUAAUCAUGAAGAGCUGUUGAAUUUCAUCUAAUAAAUUUUCUGCAUCUAUUGAGAUGAUCAUGUGAUUUUUGUUCUAUUAUAUUGAAAUUAUAUAUUAUAUUAAUUGAUUUUUAUAUGUUAAACCAACCUUGAAUUCAUGUGAUAAAUUUCACUUGGUCAUGGAGUAUAAUCAUCUCUCAAUAAAUUGUGGAAAUUGGAUUGCUAGUA